CAAUGGAAAAUGUGAUGUUAAUGUCAUGGUGAAGCAAUGGGUGGAAUACUACCCAAUGAUAAAAGACUGGUCAGAAGCAAAGAGAGGCCCGUGCUUGAGUUGCUGAUACCAACUAAUUCCUGUUAAAUCUCUGAGAUAAUGGACAGAUGGGAAAGCCUCUUUUUAACAGCCCAGUCCAAAUGGACUUUCCAAUACUUGAAAGGUGGAGCCAGCCUGAUACAGUUGUGUUCAGAGCCUUGCCCCUGCUCGUACUUUUCAGCACCAUGUCCCCUAACAAGCUGGGCACAAGCAGCAAGGCUAUUUUCCCUCUCCUUACAGUAAUGCUACCUCUAUUACUUUGCAGUUAUUCAUUGUUGUGUGGUGUUUUACAGACACAGAAAAAAGCAAAGAAAAACACAACACUGACAAUGUCAUUUAAUAGUCAUGCAUACAUUAUAUAGUCAGGUUCAGAACUUGAAUGAAAUGAUCAUUCUUGGUUAAGAUGUUUUAACGAAUGAUUUGUAGGGGUGUGACGAUACUCUCAGCUCACGAGACGAGAUAAGACACCAUAUUGGGUUCACGAGAACGAGACGAGAGGAGAUUUUAAGAAACUACAAUGACAAAAUAUAUGACUGGACCAACGUUGCACAUGCAUGCUCUCUCUCUUUACAUGCAUGAUGUAAGCAUUAAUUUUUAAUAAACUUCUACUUCCACAAAU